rnacentral:rRNA from 1 species
GGCUAGCAUCAGUUUGGAUGGUAGGAUAAUGGCAUUGGAAUGUGACAUUGCUUCGGUNAUGUGUUAUAGCCUUUGUUGAUACUGCCUAUCUAGACUNAGGCUGCGUCUUUGACUAGGAUGCUGGCAUAAU